CACAAAUGUGGCCUGACUUGCAUUUUACAUUUUGACUUUAGGUUUUCAAAAUCUGCAGGUGUUUUCACUUCAUCUAAUGUUCCUUGAAAGCACUUCAUACACGUCAUUAUAAAUCUUGGCCUAAAGCAUGUCUCGAACUCUGGGCAACAAGAAGAGGGGAAGUGCUCUGAAGAUCAACUAAAGUGGACUAGGAGCACUGAAAGAGAUACACAGGCCUUUCUGGCCCAUGGAGCCGUGCCAGCAACGCAGCAAUGUAGCCCCAGCCUAAUCAUGGGGCAAUUUACAAAGACAAACUAACCUACUAACUGGUAUAUCUUUGGACUGUGUGAGGAAACCAGAGCACCCAGAGGAAACCCACACAUUCACGGAGACUCCUGACAGAGUACGCUGGAAUUGAACUCUGAACUCCAACACCCUGAGCUGCAAUAGCGUCGUGUAUGCUAGU